rnacentral:rRNA from 1 species
GACGGGUAUCCGGCCUGAGAGGGUGAACGGACACACUGGAACUGAGACACGGUCCAGACUCCUACGGGAGGCAGCAGUAGGGAAUAUUGCUCAAUGGGGGAAACCCUGAAGCAGCAACGCCGCGUGGAGGAUGAAGGUUUUAGGAUUGUAAGCUCCUUUUGUUAGAGAAGAUUAUGACGGUAUCUAACGAAUAAGCACCGGCUAACUCCGUGCCAGCAGCCGCGGUAAUACGGAGGGUGCAAGCGUUACUCGGAAUCACUGGGCGUAAAGAGUGCGCAGGCGGGAUAGCAAGUCAGAUGUGAAAUGCUAUGGCUUAACCAUAGAACUGCAUUUGAAACUGUUAUUCUA